AGUGUAAUAUCAAGUUUGGAACUGCGAAUGGCUCAUUAUAUCAGUUAUAGUUUAUUUGGUGAAGUGUACUACUUGGAUAACCGUAGUAAUUCUAGGGCUAAUACAUGAGAAAGUCCUCUGGUGAGGUGUGUUUAUUAGAAUGAAAACCAUAUGCUUCGGCAUGAUAGUGAGUAAUAGUAACCUAUCGUAUCGCAUGCUUAAUGUAGCGAUGAGUCUUUCAAGUUUCUGCCCUAUCAGCUUUCGAUGGUAGUAUAUGGGCCUACCAUG
rnacentral:rRNA from 1 species